ensembl:lncRNA
CCCCCGUUGUGCACAACAUUUGGUCAUUCCCAUGUCACCUGCAGAAGCUGUACUCCCUGUCACGACAAAAAGAAUCCAUUGAUGUUGAAGGUCAGCGAUCCAAUUCCUUCAUCAGAAUGAAGGUCGGCGAUCCAACUCCUGCACCACAAAGAAGGUCGGUGAUCCAACUCCUGCACCAGAACAACGAACCCUCGAGGACAGUCCGCGGCCACGUCACUCCCGGCGGCAGAAUUCAGCGCUGAGCUGCAGACACAGCUUUCCCCUUCAAAGCCGAUUCACCUCGCACAGUCCGGUCCGCUAUUACACAAAGUAUACAUUUCAGACAAUACGCUGGAAAGUCUCCGGUUUGGAUCCCGUUUUCCUUGCUUUACAGAGAGCUACCAUUACGUUUACCUCCCUCUACAACCAGCAUGGAAAAGAACAACGUGUACAGCGCAGUCCUGCUGCCACCUAGAGGAAUUUACCACCAACCGUUUCAUCACUG